GCUUCCUCUCUGUCGGUGGUGGUUCUGCAACUCCCCAGAGUUCAACCAGCUCCUUCUAAAAGGCCUCUUUUAGUUUCCUUUCCAUGAAUGAAGAGUCCCAAAUGGUUUCCUGUCUGCUCCAGAGGUGUACUCAUUCAAAAGCAGAGUUGGAGAGAAAGUCAACUGUAUUAUUUAUACUAUAGAUAAGUAUAUCUUUUUUUGUGUGUUCGCGGUAACAUAAGAAGUGCGCUUUGCGCCUCAAAUAUUUUGUGUAUGGAAUGUUUUGUGUAUGGAAUGUUUUGUGUAUGGAAUGUUUUGUGUAUGGAAUGUUUUGUGUAUGGAAUGUUUUGUGUAUGGAAUGUUUUGUGUAUGGAUUUUUAUAGCAGGGCACCUCUUAAAGGGGUUAUCUCUUGGGUUGCCAUGAAGUGGAUGCAGAUGAUAUACCUGAAGGAGGUGAAGUGAUUGGUGAACGUUGACUGACCUGUAUAGUGGAUGGAGUAAGGAAACCCACUUCGUCCAUGGUAUUGUUUUUUGAUGAGUCAGGCUUUAUGAGAUAACCUGUAAGAGUUUUUGUGCAUGAGAAUAUCGUAUGCCAGUUGAGGUUAUAUGCUGCAACUGUGGUGGUGAGCAUGCACCUGAGUCCCUGGAUAGCCUUGUUAGUGUGAAGGAGACAGAGGUUGUUUGGAGCUGGUGAGAAGAGUGGAAGAAGCGAGUGGCGUUGAAGGCACAAUGGUAAUUGAGACUGCACCAAUGAUUGUUUUUUUUCCUCAGCAAUUUGAGGAUCCUGAUAUAUUUAAUGAUGGUAUUUAUGAAUAGACAAAGACAUCAAUCACGUGACACCAUUCAUUCCUAUGUGAAAACUUAAUAGCACAUUGAAGCCAAAUUAAGUCAGUUAAGAUGGCGUCUCAUGGAGAAAUAACAUGCAGCAGUUUGAGCUACUCCAGGAAGUGAUGUUCCAGGCUGGCUCUGUGCUGCCUCCUCUCAUUGAGUAAUGUUGCUUUCAAGACAACUGGGAACUCAAAAAAGGCUGGAAAGUCUGAGAUCUAGAAAGAUGCCAGAGUUUCCGACUUGGAAUUCAGAGUUUUUUCCCCACUCAGAGCUAGUUUUUUUUCCAAGUUCCCAGUUGCCUUGAACACACUGAUGUCGGAAGUUUCCGAUUUCAGAGUUUCCAGUCGUUUUGGACAUGGCAUACAUAACUCAAGUUGAAGGCCGUCCGGGGUGAUGCAGGCUGCCAUUAGCAACUAAAUUAUCCUUAUAACUUCUUCUGUGUGUAAUUCUAAAAUAAUCGGUUCAAAGACAUACAUCGGGUGUAUUACUGGUACCACGAGUGUCCUCUAAACAUUUUUUUACUCGAAGAUUGACAUUUUUCCAUUCACUAUUUUGGGCGAUCCUGUUUUCUGCUAACAAUGCAUGCAGUACCACGGUCGGCCUUGAACUUCCGUGAGCAUUUAUUGCAAUGCUCAUAAACUGCACAGCACAAAAGAAGAAACAACCGGAGAAAAUUUGCAGCAGAACGCUUUUUGGGUUGAGCCUGUGUAGGGAUGUCUUGAAUUGGAAUGUGACUGAAGGAGUGGAAUGUUUAUGAAUGUCUUUAUUUUUGUAUUUUGGGUGAUGUCGUUUUUUCGCCCCUUUCAUACAAUUGGUAUGUUUUCUAUAGUUUUACCACCCGUACAGUAGGUGGCAGAAUGCACCUCUAACACUUAUUUCCAGACGCCCUAAUACCAUAGAAGAAGAAGAAUUUAAAGCACACUUUACGAUUAGAUUGAAAAACUCGGGGAUAUUAUUACAAAUAUUGCCGCGUAAGUACGUCGGCAGAUUGAGUUGUCAUGUUCGUGAGGAAGACAUCCAUAUGUUUUUUAGUGGUGACUGGAGGUUGGUCUGAAGAAUGAGUAAGUUAAAGGUGUUAGCUAGCUAACAUGGGCGAAAUGGCGACUGCUGACUAGUAGCUAGAUUGUCAGCUGUUGUUGAUAUUUAGCCAACACAGUAGACCUACUGACCCGUCGUCAGCACUGCUCGUUCUCGCUCAUGCACGAUCUAGUGUUACAGGUACGGCUUUGUGGAGUACGAGUCAUCAUUGAGCACGCUCGUGGUCCACGCAGGGGCCGUGGUGGUGGGGGUUAUAAGAGCGGAGCUGGACGUAAGGCCACUGCGGGCAUGAGUUCGUAUCCCUGGAGGCUAAGAUGACUGGUUAAGAUGACUGCCUGUCCCGUUUUGCCUUGGCUUUCACCUUAAUGUGUGUGUGACCUUUGACGUAUGACCUCUUGGUUGACCUUACCGGAAGCCAUGAUGACGGCAGCCUUUUGCCAAUAGACAAAGGUGAUGACGGUAGUGGUUACAGCAGCCGAAGCCCCACUGGCUAGGAUACGUAUUGGCCACCUGUACGCACAGAGGACCGCCUUAUUGUGGACAGCCUCUCCAGUCGCUGCAGCUGGCAGGACCUAAAGGACUUCAUGCGCCAAGCUGGUUGAGGUGACAUAUGCCGACACUCAUAAGGAGUGGCCCAACGAGGGGGUGAUUGAGUUCUGCUCCCGCUCAGACAUGAGGGCCCUGGACAUGCUGGAUGGCACCAAAAUCAACGGGAGGAAGAUCUGCCUGGUGGAGGACAAGCCUUGCCACUGACGCUCCUACUCUGGCAGCUGCUCCUGGUCAGGAUAGUCCUGGGCCUACCACAUAAGGCAGCCGUUGGGUCCUUAUGGCCCUCCUGUUAUAAGUGGUGAUAUGUUUAAUUUGCUGUUUUUCUAGUACCAAAGCUGAUUAGUUAUCCAGGCUUACAAUGUGUUUGAUCUCCCAGGUCUCAUAGCAGACGUCACUUUCGCAGCAGGAGCAGAAGUUUUGGCAGCCACUCCAGGUCUCACUUACGGUCACACUCGUAGUAUACACCGCUCUCGAUCCAGGUCCAACCAGAAAUCACGUUCUAGAUCCGGGAAUUCCCACCUCUCCAAGUCACUCAAAUCCCGUUCCAAGUCCCGCUCACGUUCUCGCACCAGGAAGUCAUGUUCUCACUCCCACAAGUCUCGUAGCUGCUCAGUGAGCCUCAAAUCCAGCUCUCACUCCGACGCCCGUAUGUCUCGCUCCAAGAGCUAGUCUAAAGUCUAGUCUGAGCAGGAAUCCAGAAGCCACUCCAAAGAGAAGUCUGUCAGCAAGAAGUCCUAGAGUCGCUCCCCGACCCCCACAGAGAAUGGAAACAGAGCGUGCCCAGUCCACCUACAAGUCUCCCUCCCCACAAGAAGACCAUCCCAAAUCGAAGUACCCCGCCAUGCACUCAGUCUCUCGCUCCCCCUCAUGCUCUAAAUCCUUCUCCUGCUCCCGAUCCAGGUUGACCUCCAAAAUGUAAUUGCACUUGUUUUAGUAGGAAGUAUGGAAGAUGGUUUUAAAAUCAUUUACAAAUCGAAUGCAGUGUUUCAAUUUGCCCCAUUAUGAGCAUUUGGUUUUAUCGAAGUUGGGAAUGUAGUGCUUUUUAACAUUGUUUUUAACUUUGCAUGAGAACCAGGAUGAAAGAUUGUAGAUUGCUGUGGAACGCAUUGUAGAGGAAUUGUUCUCAAUUUCCUUAUCUGUAUGAGAUUGCUUAUGCUUCAUGUUAUAGGUACUGGUUGAUGUUUGUUUCAAGAGGAAAUUAUUGAUUCUUAUUUGUAAUCUCUUCCUCGCCAUCUUCUGCAUUGCUUUGAAACUCUCCUUCCAGACCCACAUCAAACAUCUCCAAACAAUCCAAAGUUAAGUCUAGAAUUGGCUUCCUAUUUCGCAACAAAGCAUCCUUCACUCAUGCUGCCAAACAUACCCUUGUAAAACUGUCCAUCCUACCAAUCCUCGACUUCGGCGAUGUCAUUUACAAAAUAGCCUCCAAUACCCUACUCAACAAAUUGGAUGCAGUCUAUCACAGUGUCAUCCGUUUUGUCACCAAAGCCCUAUAUACUACCCACCAUUGCGACCUGUACGCUCUCGUUGGCUGGCCCUCGCUUCAUACUCGUCGCCAAACCCACUGGCUCCAUGUCAUCUACAAGACCCUGCUAGGUAAAGUCCCCCCUUAUCUCAGCUCGCUGGUCACCAUAGCAUCACCCACCUGUAGCACGCUCUCCAGCAGGUAUAUCUCUCUAGUCACCCCCAAAACCAAUUCUUUCUUUGGCUGCCUCUCCUUCCAGUUCUCUGCUGCCAAUGACUGGAACGAACUACAAAAAUCUCUGAAACUGGAAACACUUAUCUCCCUCACUAGCUUUAAGCACCAACUGUCAGAGCAGCUCACAGAUUACUGCACCUGUACAUAGCCCAUCUAUAAUUUAGCCCAAACAACUACCUCUUUCCCUACUGUAUUUAUUUGAUUUAUUUAGCUCCUUUGCGCCCCAUUAUUUUUAUUUCUACUUUGCACAUUCUUCCACUGCAAAUCUACAAUUCCAGUGUUUUACUUGCUAUAUUGUAUUUACUUUGCCACCAUGGCCUUUUUUUGCCUUUACCUCCCUUAUCUCACCUCAUUUGCUCACAUCGUAUAUAGACUUGUUUCUACUGUAUUAUUGACUGUAUGUUUGUUUUACUCCAUGUGUAACUCUGUUGUUGUAUGUGUCGAACUGCUUUGCUUCAUCUUGGCCAGGUCGCAAUUGUAAAUGAGAACUUGUUCUCAACUUGCCUACCUGGUUAAAUAAAGGUGAAAUAAAAUAAAUACAAAAUAAA
ensembl:lncRNA